UCCUUACAAGGGAAGUAAAAAUCUGCUCUUUCCUCUUAGAAUCCAGACCUGCCUCGGUGCACAAAGGAUGGAUGAACACCAUAAUGACAAAAUACAUAAAAGAUAGGGCUUCACUUCCAGGAGAAUCAGACCAGUGCAUGGAUGCCAAAAUGAAACCGCUCUCCGCUCCAUUUUGAACGCUGUCAGUGGCGUACGGAGCCAGUGACGUGCCUGCCUAGAAAGGCGGCUACCUGCUCGUGCGGAGCAGUUCUACUCUUUGUCACCAAAUACUUCCCACAUGACACUGUCUUGUCAUCUUCACUGCUUCUGGAGAGACUUUGAGAAAUGACUCAUGGUGUGGUAUGCCCUACUUAGGAUACUUGAGAUGGUGCUUUUUCCGAGGUGCUUCCCCAAGCCUUUGACUGUCAGGUCUUGAAAGAAGAAUACCCUUGUAUCGUGAAAGGCAUAACUGCUCCUCCUCACUUGACUUCACAAGCACAUUUCAAACAGAACUGAAUUUAUGUGGUCAGCAAAGCUAUCAGCAAACAUACUGGUGAGUUAGAGGCAUCCAGAAACCUCUUGAUUAUGUGAUAAGGAACAGCACAAGUUCAAACAGAUCACCCACUGCUUCCUCAAGCCUUCCAAGCAGUGUCACUCCCUCCGUACUACCUGCUUCCUAUGGAAGCACCUACAUGUUUUUCCCCUAUAGAGGGGCAAACAGCUAUCAAACAUUUCCCUUUGAAGAAAAGAUCAUUUCACAUCUAUUCUGUGAUGAAUUACAGCAAGAGUUAUUGCCACCAGCCUGGAUACAUCAAUCUGUGCAUCUUCUCAUGUUUUAUAGCUUCUUAACUCUGACACUUAGGACAGCAUAUUAAUAAACUCAGCAAAAAAAAGCCAAUUGGAAAUCUUUCCCUUUCUUAGCUUAAUUUGUGAUGUAUUAAUCUGUCUGUUUGUCUCUAGCACUAAUCUUAGUGCCAAGGAAGCUGGCCAAAGAACUGCUCGCUCUUUGCAGGCGCACAAGGGAAACCACGAAGUUGUUGACUCGUGUGCAUACAUAUACAUAUAUGGAUGUGUGAGUAUGUCUCCCUAUCUCCAUAUUCUCUUUCUUGUGGAUACAAAAGCUAAUUCCACUUUAACAAAUUUCACGUAAACAUACAGUUUCAUAGUUGCAUUUGCAGGUUAUUAACCAGGUCAACAGCAGAAAUGCACCAAGCAUUUACAAAUCAAGGCAAAAGGUGCCCAAGUGAUAAGAAAGGCUGGGAAUUCAUUCUUGAGUAGCUGCCUCCUGGAAGGAAUGGGAAAUGCAAACUAAGAGAAGCAAGGAAUGCUACAGCCAAAUGUCAUUGCAUCUUACUGCUGAGCUUGCAAGGGCUUUUCAGGCAAUGAACAGGAAGGACAGCCUGCCUCACCUGCGGGGUGCUGCCAACUGGUCAGCUGGCUACAGAGAAAAGCUAAAGGGAGACUUAGGAUAAACAUUAAAAAGCAACUCAAGUUACACUGCAAAGGGCUUGGGUCCUUUAGAAAAUAUUAACCUGCACCGAUCAGCAUUUUUAAGCUUUUGCUUUUUUAAGGAAUAAAGGUAUAGUUUUGAUGGAAGACUUGAAGGGGAGGAAAAAACCAGCAUGUGCAUUACUCCUCUUGUAUCAGUGCAGUCCAGUUUAGCAGCCAUGAUUUACCAAAGACUUUACCCCCCACCUCCCUCAGGCAGCCUUUUUGUGCUGCCCACGGGGGCACCAGCAGCACCUCACCACAGCUGAUUUUGGACUCAUGAGACACCUGGAACAAUAGCUGUGUAAGUGCGAAUAGCAUGAGCCACCCUCUCUUCUACUGCUGGAGCUGAUGCUUUCUUGCCAAGCUGAUAAAAUAGCACAAUUCAUUAAAAAUGCUGUCUGAUAGCAGGAAAACUCUUAUUGUCUCUUUUUCCCAGGGCAGCCACAGCAAGAACAAUUCACAAGGCUCUUAUCCUAGCCUGGUCCCCUCUUUCUCUCCUGGCUGGCAUAGUAUUUCUGGCAUAUUUCUGGGAAGUAUGUCCAUCAGGGAAACAAAUGGUGUCUUUCCAUUCUUUUCUGUAAAGAGAGAUGUCAACUAUUGUAAUUCAGCAUAAAUUUCCAUAGAGUACUAAUCUCGUUUUUCAGUCGUGGACAUCUGAUCCUGUGGCACCUAACCCAUGGGGUUUUUUUUAAUUCAACAAGUGACUUUUCCCCUGCACAGAGAGAAGGGCAGAAAUGGAUGGAAGGCAUGGUGAAGGUGAGGAGGUAGAAGCACAGGAGGCAAAUAGUCCGAGUCCUGCAGCAUUCUCCCCAGUGAUCUGUUUGCUCAGCCAAGUGAAUCCAAAAGUUGAUCCUGGUUGUACUAGUGCAACCUAUUGUAACAAAACGCGUGGGAAGACUAUAAAUGUGAGGAAUGUCCUGCGCCUCUGCGUGCUGUCCAGGAUCUUUGGUGCCAUGUGUCAUGGCAACAAUGCUGUCAAAGCUGACUCUUAAAGAAUCACCCUUUGACAGCUUUGUCUCCUAACAACUGCGUAGCUGUCAGCUCAUGGGAAUUCCUCUUUCUCCGGAGGAUGCAGAAUGCCAGCUGAGAAACGCCAGUUCAUUAUCCCAUAGCAGACAAAACAAAUAUUGUGUUUCCCCUGAACCAGCUAUAUAUAGAAUUAAUCUGACCCUGGUAAGACUUUGUGAGAUAGCUCGGGUUCAACUCAGGCAAGGGCAAAUGCUGCUCCCCAAAAGGAUUUCUCUACAGGCUGGCAGAUGCACUUGUUGAGUUACGUCUCCUCUCCCAGGAGUGAUCUGUUACAUAAAGAAUAGAUGGUGAGCUAUAUCUGUUCAGCAUUUGGGAAAUACAGAAACAAUUGGGAGCUUGUCCGUGCAGUGGGGUGAAGUUAAGCGAAGUAACUUGUUGCCUAAUGUCUUUAGCGCCUCUAAAUGAGGAGCCCAGACAAUUAUUUAGUAAAAAUACUGAUUCACUGAUUCACUGUGCUUUUUGUAUUACAGUACUAGAGCAGAAAUUGAAAACUUCUGUCAACUAUCUGGGUGAGAACCCCUUUGAGUCACUUUUUGUGUAGCUAAAGCAUGAUUAAAGUCACAUUUUUCUCUUCUAUGGCUAUGUGUAAGACCUGAUCCUGUAGCUUCACUAAAAGAAUGACCUGUUGAUCAUAAUGGGAGCUUUUCCUGCAGAGCAGUGUUUUCUUCUAUUAUUAAUGGCAUUUGGCUGUGCAGUAGUUGCACAGUUUUCUAUUAGAGGUGAAGAAAUAAUUCAAAUUUGUAUUCCUUUUAAAAAGCGACGCUCACUGUCUCUCCAUCUUUCUGGUGCGGAUUCCCAUCAUCACAGCAGGACGUGCUGGUGACUGAAUGGCUCAGUUGCCGUCUUGUCCUGGCUUUUCACCGUCUUGAGUUUCAAGCAGCAUUUCAUUAAUAGUGUGAGAGGUGUCCAUUAAGGCUUUAGAGCCAGCGGUGUUGUUCCAGCAUCUGCAAGCGAUGCUAAGUGUGUUCAAACUUUGCAGCCGUCUAGCAGUCAGCCCGUGUGGUAUGCAUUUGUAUUUGGUGGUGAUCCAAAUUCUCCUUUGUUGUGGUCACACAAACUGUUCAACAGCAGUGACCAGCCGUCACCUUCAGUCACCCAGUAGUGCACAUAAAGGUUGUGCAUUUGUUAUCAGGGACAUCAGACUCACCGUUAGGUAGCUGUUUUCACUAAAAUUAUCAAUAAUUUUCAGUGUAAAAAAGAUAAUAGGAUCAUAGGACUGGAAGGGAACUCUUCUCAUCACAUCCUUCCUCCCCACCUCUGGCUUUCUGCUCCUGGCAGACAUUUCUUUAACUUCUGCUUUAAAAAAAAACUGUUAUGGAGGCUGCACGCUCUUCCCAGGCAACCUUUUUUUCUGCUCCUUAUUGUUAGAAAAUUUUCCAUACUUUUCCUUGCAAUAGUUUAAGUCUGUUGCUUGCCUUCUACCUUGUGGAAAUUGUUCCCUUCAUCUUUGUAGCUGCAGACUGCCGGCAAGUCACAGCUGUAUUAAAAAAAAAAAAAAAUCAUAUCGAUCUACUGCUGGUGAUUUUGUCAAAUAGAUGAAAUUUCACUCUGUGUAUUGAUGACUUUUCUGUCACAACUUUUAAACUGUAUCUCCCUUUUCAGUAUCUAUUCCUUUCUCCUGAAAGCGAAUGUGCUAUUUACAUAUGCUUCCUCAAGUACAUUUUGCAAAGCAAUUUUCUUCUCACUGUCACUGCCAGCAGGUGACUCUGUGUAGCGUCAGUCACAAACCACCUGGGUUUGCAUCCUUUUCUGUAUUUUCUGUAUGAAACAUUUUCUCCUUUCUAAAUACAGCUUUCUUUGAGAGUGCUUAACCAGUCUGCAGUCCAUCUUCUGUUGGAAGCAUGGUUUUCAUCAUCCUGCAUUAAUUCUGUAGUGUGACACAGCUUUUUUUCUUUGCUGGGGGGCAGCUUUGCCCUUUCACACUCGUUGCUCCAGCAGGACAAAAUUACAGGAAAAUACUCACUAUAGGGCAAGGUAGACAAUAAAUAUUAUGUUGAUGACUGUAACUGACCCAUUUUGUAUUACUGCAUAUGAUGAAUUUUACCAUCACUCCCACAAGACCGCGUGAACACAAGCUAUUAUGUAAUGUUAAUUUGUGAGUAAACUGAUAUUUCGUUAAUCUUAUU